UACGUAGGGACCAAGCGUUGUCCGGAAUCAUUGGGCGUAAAGAGCGUGUAGGCGGCUUGUUAAGUCUUGCGUGAAAUCUCGGGGCUCAACCCCGAGCGGUCGUGAGAAACUGGCAGGCUAGAGUGCGGGAGAGGAGAGUGGAAUUCCUGGUGUAGCGGUGAAAUGCGCAGAUAUCAGGAGGAACACCGGUGGCGAAGGCGGUGGUCUGGGCCGGUACUGACGCUGAGGAGCGAAAGCGUGGGGAGCGAACAGG
rnacentral:rRNA from 1 species